CCUGUUGUACUGCAGAGAUGACUAGAGGAAGACAGAAAACUGAAGGGACUAAUGAGGAUGGUGACCCUCACUCUCCUGCAUCGCCCCAACCAAGGGUCGUUGGACUCUCUGUCUACCCUCAGGAAACCUCAUCAGAGGCAGGUGGAGACUCAGCAAGAAGGUGACUGCAAACCAGAAAGAAGCUGUCCCCAGAACCCAACCAUGCUGGCACCUUGAUCUCGGACUUCCCGCCUCCAGAACUUUUCAGAACCUCCAGAAGGACCUUGGAGUAUGAAGAUUUCUCUACAGAACCAAGUUCUUGGUGAGAGGUUGGCCGUGCAACGGACCCAAGCCCCUGGGAUUCAGCCCUCAGGCCCCAGGACAAUGGGGGACAGUGAAGAUUGUCCCUUUUUACCUCAUGGUGAUAGUGACUGGUGAGCAGAGCUAUAGAUUUUGUUUGUUUGCGUAAAACAUAAAAAGCAUCACAGAGAAAUGUAAACAUCGGUAAAUUGAGGUUCUGAGCAACAACGACAAGCGCUUUUUAAAACAGGGAAGCGCAGCUUUUCUCCUUGCCACGCGCUCCUCCUGCUCCCGCUCUGUGCCCUGCUCCAGAACCGCCAUUUUCUGAGCUCUCAGCAGUAAACUUAAUAAAGAUUGAUAUCAGCGACAAAUUCUGUCAACUUCUACGCUGCAAAACUUAGUCACCGUGCAAAAUGGACCAAGGAAAAUAAAUAACCCGAGGAAUGAUGGAGUGUGUAAAUAUUGAUGGGAACGCCAGGCACCGGGAAGUUGGAUGAAGCGAAAAAGAACUUAGUUUCCGUGACCUGAGUGAAGGCAGGUCUUUUCACAUUGAUUUUAAUUCUCUGGCAUUAUUUUCUUGGUGGGAAUGUGUGUUGUAGGCUGAAUUGUAAAUUCUUGCAUUCCAAAAUAAUCAUUCCAGAAAAAGCAUUUCUUUAAUUAGAUUUUAAAAAUGCUAUUACAAAAAUAGUACUGUACACAGAAAAAUAUUAAAAUACAUAUAGGAAAAAUAGAGUAAGAAAGAACACUCAUAAUUCCAUCACCCAAAAUAUUGGCUGUAAGCAUCUUCCAGACUUUUUUCCAUGCUAUUGUAUACAUUUCCUAAUUUCUAAGAGGCAAGUUUUUCAAAGUUUGGUAUCUCUGAAAUCAGAUUGAGUCUCUGGGUACAUAUCCCAUGGCAGCAUUUUCUUUUGUCGAAAAAGGCUCUUAGUAAGUUAAUGUUGUUUCCUACAAAUGAUGACAUUUUGAAACCAAAGAUAUAUGUGGGUGUCAUAAUGUGUAGAAAAUAUUAUAUUUUAUAUACUAUCUUUUCUUUUUUUACCUUGUUUUCUUUUUUUUAAAAUUGAGGCAUA